CCAGAUACUUGUGCAGAGAUAGAUCAACAUGUACAACCCUCCGAGUACGCAGGACAUGUCCUACUAUGGUCAUGUUCAGAAGCGCCAUGAGGAGAAAGGUUGCUUAUAUGCAUGCCUCUUUACGCUGUGCUGCUGCUUCUGCUGCUACGAGACUUGCGAGUGUUGCAUGGAGUCCAUCUGCUGCUGCGGCUAGUUUAGCUCGACGGAGUCAUCAUGGAGAUGUAUGGCAAGCUCAAAAUUCAUCGCUAUCCUGUAGAUGAUGCCCGUGUCGUUGCGCCCUCGGUAAACAGCCAGUAUUGCUUGCUCAAAUAAAAACUGCCGACUGUUGUUGUGUGUUUCCCUUUGAUGGUGAAAUGCUCUGCCAAGUGCUAUUGUUUGUAA